rnacentral:rRNA from 1 species
AAGACUCUCGGCAACGGAUAUCUCGGCUCUUGCAUCGAUGAAGAACGUAGCGAAAUGCGAUACUUGGAGUGAAUUGCAGAAUCCCGUGAACCAUCGAGUCUUUGAACGCAAGUUGCGCCCGAAGCCAUUAGGCUGAGGGCACGCCUGCCUGGGUGUUGCACAU